rnacentral:rRNA from 1 species
UACAGAGGGUGCAAGCGUUGUUCGGAAUUAUUGGGCGUAAAGCGCGUGUAGGCGGCUUUGCAAGUCGGGUGUGAAAGCCCUCGGCUCAACCGAGGAAGUGCGCCCGAAACUGCAGAGCUCGAGUGCCGGAGAGGGUGGCGGAAUUCCCCAAGUAGAGGUGAAAUUCGUAGAUAUGGGGAGGAACACCGGUGGCGAAGGCGGCCACCUGGACGGUGACUGACGCUGAGACGCGAAAGCGUGGGUAGCAAACAGGAUUAGAAACCCCCGUAGUCC